GCUCAGAGUCAGCAAAGCAGCCUCGUCCUGAACCCUAGUUUACACCUAGAAUAUGAGGCAGGUGAUAAGAGUGACACUGUUCCUGAUCCUGGGCACUUUAAGCCUUGUGAAGACCACCCAGCGAAUCUCCAUGGACGCCUAUGAAGGACAGGAAGUGAACAUAUCCUGUAACCACACCAACAUUGCCACAAAUGAGUACAUCUUCUGGUACCGACAGGUCCCCCACCAGGGACCACACUUUGUCAUUCAAGGAUAUAAGACGAAUGUGGCAAAUGAAGUGGCAUCUCUGUUUAUCCCGGUUGACAGAAAGUCCAGCACCCUGAGCCUGCACCGCGUUACCCUGAAAGACAGUGCUGUGUACUACUGCACUGUGGGUGGCACAGUGAGACAGCUGGGUUUGGUAUUGCAGCUGGACUUUGAAUAG